AAACUGCGAAUGGCUCAUUAAAACAGUUAUAGUUUAUUUGAUGGUCUUUCUUACAUGGAUAACCAUGGUAAUUCUAUGGCUAAUACAUGCGCAAUCGCCUCCUUCUCUGGAGGGGCUGUGUUUAUUAGAUACAAAACCAACCCACUUUGUGGAGCCUUGGUGAAUUCAUAGUAACCGAACGGAUCGCAUUUGGCUUCGGCCCGCGAUGGAUCAUUCAAGUUUCUGACCUAUCAGCUUUCGACGGUAGG
rnacentral:rRNA from 1 species